GAAACUUAAUUUAAAAUUAAAUUAAAAUGCAGAGCCCCCUGGACUGGUGGCCAGGAUCCGGGCAUUGUGAGUGCCACUGAAAAUCAGCUCGCGUGCCGCCGGUUGCCUAUCCCUGCUCUAAGACAAACACUUUGAUGUUGGAAGUUUGCCUUGUCUCUCUGUGUUCUGCAUCUGCUUUGGAGAUAAAUAGAAGUCUUCAUUUUCAGGAUCAGCUUUGUUCUUGGCAAUGGCUGCGGAAGCGGAAGGGGAUGUUCUUGAGAAGGCAAGAAAUACAGAAACUUUGGUGUAGUUGAGUUUUUCCUUUAAUUUCCUGUUUUAAUCAAGUUGCUGUCAGAUGUGGUUGAGAAGUUAUUCAUAUUAAUGCGUGAUUGUAUCAUGUUUAGAGCUAAAUCUCUUUCCUCUAUCGUAUAUCCGUUACGUCUUGCUGCAUGUUUCUGCAGAUUGUUUCAAAGAGAUUAAAUUCCAGACAACAGGUUAGAGCAACCCCUUUAACUCGGAAUAUUAAGUCACUUGGAGUCUUUGACUCCAGUAUUUUGCCUGUUCCUCAUUUUAAAGACUAGCAUCCCAUGUGUGUGUGUCAGUCAGUGGUUAAUUUUGGAGUUGAGGCUGAUCCAGCCAACCCCAAAAUCCAGAUCCUAAUGUUGUUGCUGAGGGCUUGUUUACAUGGUGUGUUAGUGUGCACCAGUGGGGUGUGACUUCUGGUCCACACCAGCAUAUCACGUACUAACUGGCUCGUGUGGACCCUGCUGGCUCACACUGACAGUUCCCUAGUGCACAUUGACGUGGUACUGUUUGAAAUAGAACUACAUUAACACACACUAGGGAAUUUUUAGUGCACGUCAGCAGGAUCCACAUGGGCCAGCUAGUGCAUGACACACACCUGUGCAAAUUAGAAUUCACACCCCACUGGUGUGUGCUAACGCACUGUGUAAAUAAGCCCUUAGGACUCACCACUAGUCAAUUAGCUCUUAAGCGGCAGCACCAAGGUGAGAAGGGUACUCUGACGAGCUGGCCAGCAAGUGCAGGCUUCCAAAUAUGGAUUUGUCCUUUCCUUGCAGACCCUCCUCUCAGUGUAGUGAUCCAGUGUCAGCUAGGCCACAACUGCAAAUGUGUUGCUAAUAAUGAAAAACUUGCUUUUUGAGAUGCCUAAAGUGGGGGGAACCUACAUGUCUGUUGUAAAACCAUGUAAUUAGUGCUAGGAUUGACCUUCA